rnacentral:rRNA from 1 species
AAGAUUACUUCUGCGAAAGCAUCUGCCAAGGAUGUUUUCAUUAAUCAAGAACGAAAGUUAGGGGAUCGAAGACGAUUAGAUACCGUCGUAGUCUUAACCAUAAACCAUGCCGACCAGCGAUUGGGAGACGUUUCACACGGGGGUGGUCCCCAUGGGGAGAGUGCGUGGGGGUGGCCGCUUCAUGCGGUGGCCUCCUCGCCUUUCCCUUUGGGGGGCUGCU